rnacentral:lncRNA from 1 species
AUGUUGAAUAAAAGUGGCAAGAGUGGACAUCAUUGUCUUGUUUCUGAUCUUAGUGGAAAUGCUUUCAGCUUUUCACCAUUGAGAAUGAUGUUAGCUGUGGAUUUGUCAUAUACCGCUUUUAUUACAUUGAGGUUUACUAUCCAAAGUGUAAGAAGUUUGAGAAGGUUCAAAGGAAAGAAACACCAAAGGCGACUUAGGAAGAAAGAUAAUUUGCUGGAGUAGACAGUACUGGCCUGGGAUUCAGGUAAGAGCCAAUAUUGGUCUUGACUCUGAACUUAGGUGGUUACUUUCUUAAAGCCAGCCAUUGAAUUUCUCAGAGGCUCAGGUUCUUUAUUUGUACCUGGGAACAAUAUCCCUUCUGCCUGUUUACAGUAGAGUCAAAUGAAAUUGUAUAUGAAAUAAUACUUAUAAGCUAUAAAGUAUUAUGCAAAUACAAUGCAACUUUAAACAACUUAAGGGAACCACAUUAAACUAGACUGUUGAAUGUUUCUUAAAAAAAAUAUCUUGAGUGUUUUAUUUCACCAAAUUUAUGUUUUUACUCAGCAGACUUAGAAUUGACAAAAAUGGGAUUUAGGUAAGAAAUUAGUUUCUUCUAUCUUGAGAUAGGGAAAUGUUGCAAUAAUUUAAAAGGCAAAGUUUCCUUUCCCCACUUUUGAGUAUAUUUAGAAGGAAAAGGCAGACAAGUAAUGUUUUGGAAAUGAAGAAUAGAUGGACCACCCAACCGCAAUGCAUGUGGGGAUAGAGCAAAACAACCCCUGACAAUCCCUUUCAGACACAAGACCAUGUGUGUAUGUCAUCAGGAUGCACUUCCUUGCUUUGGUUGUCUCUGUAGUGACUGCACCAAUCAACAUAUUGCUGAUUCUAAAUGUGGGGAAAAAGAAAGUAAAUUCCAAAUGACUUAUUUUCAUUGCUGUUCAUGUUUGCUGCCAGUGUUUGCCUCCAUGCUUGAAAACAUGAGCAAAGAUUUGUCUUUUUGAAGAGCUCUAUUUCUCAUGUUUAAAUAACUGAUGCCCUUAAGGGGAUUGAGAAGAGGUAGAGGAUGGCCUGGAUGCAAUCCAGGAAGAGAUGCAUUUGCUCAACAAAGCAAAAAAUGUUUAAAAUGAAAAGAAAGCAACUGUAAUUUGGCACUUGUUAUUGCUUACCUAUUUUUCUUGAGUUCAAUUAGCCACAAAGACAGACAGAUAUGUCUCAAGUUGACUUUAGGCAUUUGUCUUUUUAAGUGUUUGUAAAGCCCAGCUUUAUGUAAAUAUCAGUGUUAUUAAAAAUUUUUGGCUCUAAUAGUCAUUUUCUAUGGUAAUUUCUGUUAUAACUUUUUUAAAAAUGCAUGUAUUCUAUUCUAGGCCAAAUUUCUGAAAUAUCUGUCAGGAAGAAAAUGCUGUAGUAUAUGAUUUUUUUUUUUUGCCCCAUGAACUGAUUAUUUUUAGCAGCUUUUAUAAGCAUAAUAACAGUAAUUUUAGCAGCUAAUUUACCUAAAAUCAUUUUGUUCCAAAACCUGAAAGCCCCCAAAUCAAAGGGUUCUCUUUGUCUAAAAAAAUUAAAUCAAAAUAAAUGUUUCUGGUUUGUUUUAAGAGGAAAAAUU